rnacentral:rRNA from 1 species
CCCUUAGAUGUUCUGGGCUGCACGCGCGCUACACUGAUGCACUCAACGAGUUUACGACCUUGCCCGAUAGGGUUGGGUAAUCUUUUUAAAAUGCAUCGUGAUGGGGAUAGAUUAUUGCAAUUAUUAAUCUUCAACGAGGAAUUCCUAGUAAGCGCGAGUCAUCAGCUCGUGCUGAUUACGUCCCUGCCCUUUGUACACACCGCCCUUCGCUCCUACCGAUUGAGUGCUCAGGUGAAUAAUUCGGACUGCAGCAAUGUUUGGAUCCCGAACGUUGCAGCGGAAAGUUUAGUGAACCUUAUCACUUAGAGGAAGGAGAAGUCGUAACA